rnacentral:rRNA from 1 species
CUCUUCGGAGGACAAAGUGACAGGUGGUGCAUGGUUGUCGUCAGCUCGUGUCGUGAGAUGUUGGGUUAAGUCCCGCAACGAGCGCAACCCUUGAACUUAGUUGCCAUCAUUCAGUUGGGCACUCUAAGUUGACUGCCGGUGACAAACCGGAGGAAGGUGGGGAUGACGUCAAAUCAUCAUGCCCCUUAUGAUUUGGGCUACACACGUGCUACAAUGGACAAUACAAAGGGCAGCGAAACCGCGAGGUCAAGCAAAUCCCAUAAAGUUGUUCUCAGUUCGGAUUGUAGUCUGCAACUCGACUACAUGAAGCUGGAAUCGCUAGUAAUCGUAGAUCAGCAUGCUACGGUGAAUACGUUCCCGGGUCUUGUACACACCGCCCGUCACACCACGAGAGUUUGUAACACCCGAAGCCGGUGGAGUAACCAUUUUGGAGCUAGCCGUCGAAGGUGGGACAAAUGAUUGGGGUGAAGUCGUAACAAGGUAGCCGUAUCGGAAGGUGCGGCUGGAUCACCUCCUUU